rnacentral:rRNA from 1 species
AACGAACGCUGGCGGCAGGCCUAACACAUGCAAGUCGAACGUGAAGCCACCUUCGGGUGGUGGAAAGUGGCAGACGGGUGAGUAACGCGUGGGAACGUGCCUUUCGGUUCGGAAUAACCUAGGGAAACUUGGGCUAAUACCGGAUACGCCCUUCGGGGAAAAGAUUUAUCGCCGAAAGAUCGGCCCGCGUCGGAUUAGCUAGUUGGUAGGGUAAUGGCCUACCAAGGCGACGAUCCGUAGCUGGUCUGAGAGGAUGACCAGCCACACUGGGACUGAGACACGGCCCAGACUCCUACGGGAGACAGCAGUGGGGAAUAUUGGACAAUGGGCGGAAGCCUGAUCCAGCCAUGCCGCGUGGGUGAAGAAGGCCCUAGGGUUGUAAACCCCUUUCAGCGGGGAAGAUAAUGACGGUACCCGCAGAAGAAGCCCCGGCUAACUCCGUGCCAGCAGCCGCCGUAA